rnacentral:rRNA from 1 species
GACAGAGGGUGCGAGCGUUAAUCGGAAUUACUGGGCGUAAAGCGUGCGUAGACGGUUAUUUAAGUCGGGUGUGAAAGCCCCGGGCUCAACCUGGGAAUUGCAUUCGAGACUGAAUAGCUAGGGUACGGUAGAGGGAAGCGGAAUUUCCGGUGUAGCGGUGAAAUGCGUAGAUAUCGGAAGGAACAUCAGUUGCGAAAGCGGCUUCCUGGACCAGUACCGACGUUCAGGCACGAAAGCGUGGGGAGCAAACAGG